rnacentral:misc_RNA from 1 species
GAAAUGCGAUAAGUAGUGUGAAUUGCAGAAUUCAGUGAAUCAUCGAAUCUUUGAACGCACAUUGCGCCCUUUGGUAUUCCAAAGGGCAUGCCUGUUCGAGCGUCAUUUGUACCCUCAAGCUUUGCUUGGUGUUGGGCGUUUUUUGUCUUUGGCUCGCCCAAAGACUCGCCUUAAAACGAUUGGCAGCCGGCCUACUGGUUUCGCAGCGCAGCACAUUUUUGCGCUUGCAAUCAGCAAAAGAGGACGGCAAUCCAUCAAGACUCCUUCUCACGUUUGACCUCGGAUCAGGUAGGGAUACCCGCUGAACUUAAGC